GAGGUAGAGGUCGCGAAUUUUAAGAGUCAUUUGGGGAAGAUGCCGAGAACGUCGAUGAACCCGAAUAAAAGGAAAAUUCGCCGAAGUUUGCCUGUUUUCUCUGGACAGGCGGGCUGGGGCUGCACUCGAAAGGGGCAGAACUGUCACGGUUCCGUCAUACGGGAAUCGUGGAGAGCUAUCU
rnacentral:ncRNA from 1 species